rnacentral:lncRNA from 1 species
UUUUUUAUUUCUUUUAAAUUUCGCAAGCAUAUUUUAUUUUUGCUUCAAUUUAGCCCAUCGUUGCGCAGCAAUUUGGAAGGCGGGAAUAAUUUCCCUUUUGGUCCUCCAUUGUUGCUUGCGUAUUCAAGUUGGGCCCUCUCUUUUUUUAUUUCUGAUUUUUACCCCGUUUUUUAUUAAACUUUAAUUUAGUCCUUUUUCCUUUUUAAUAUAAUUUCAGCCCUAUUUUGUUUUAAAUUUUUUUUAUAUUUCGAGGGCAAUUAAGUUUCUUUUUGUUUUUUCCCUGUCUUGUUUCUAAUAUUUUAUUUAUUUAUUUAUUUUACUUACUCCUUUAGUUUUUUUUUUAUCGUUUUUGUUUUAUAUUUUGUUUUAUUUUAUUAUCAUUCUAAUCUUCAUUACUACUAUUACUAUUGUUAAUAUUAUUAUUAUUAUGAUUAUUACCAUUGUUAUUAUAUUUUUAUAUCAAUUUGUC